rnacentral:rRNA from 1 species
UACGUAGGUGGCAAGCGUUAUCCGGAAUUAUUGGGCGUAAAGAGCGCGCAGGUGGUUGAUUAAGUCUGAUGUGAAAGCCCACGGCUUAACCGUGGAGGGUCAUUGGAAACUGGUCGACUUGAGUGCAGAAGAGGGAAGUGGAAUUCCAUGUGUAGCGGUGAAAUGCGUAGAGAUAUGGAGGAACACCAGUGGCGAAGGCGGCUUCCUGGUCUGUAACUGACACUGAGGCGCGAAAGCGUGGGGAGCAAACAGGGAUUAGAUACCCG